rnacentral:misc_RNA from 1 species
UGUGAAAUAGAAAAUGAUUACUUCUCAAUUUGAGAAUAUUUCUACAUAUGAGGCAAGAUAAAUUGGAAUGAGCAAUUGUUAGGCAUUCAGUAUAACUCAUGCACCUGCUUCUUUCUUUUAUCCUUUUCCUAAUCCAAGGUUGGGAUGCAACCAGGAGUACUUUCAUCAUACAAAACCAGACUCUAACAGACAGAAGGGGGGAGUUACGUCCUACCAACACAUUCACAUCUGAUCCUUCUUUCAAUAAUGGA